rnacentral:ncRNA from 1 species
UCCCUGGUUGAUCCUGCCAGUAGUCAUAUGCUUGUCUCAAAGAUUAAGCCAUGCAUGUCUCAGUGCAAGCCGCAUUAAGUGAAACCGCGAAAGGCUCAUUAAAUCAGUUGUGGUUCCUUAGAUCGUACCCAAGUUACUUGGAUAACUGUGGUAAUUCUAGAGCUAAUACAUGCCGACAGAGUUCCGACCGUCGCGGCGCCCUCGGGCGUCGCUCGCGGGAGGAACGCUUUUAUUAGAUCAAAACCGGGCCCGUCGCGGCGCGCUUCGUG